rnacentral:ncRNA from 1 species
UAAUUGAUGGUUGCUGCCAGCCAGCAUUAAAAGGGAAUCCGGUGUGAAUCCGGAACAGUCACCUCUACUGUGAUGCGGACAAAGAAAUCAUAACCAUUGGCGUAUGCCGAGAAGGAAUUUCGGAGGAUGAAGCAAAGUCAGGAGACCUGCCGUUCUUUUU